GAGGAAAGGUCCAGUGAAAUGUUCCAAAUGUUGUUUCAACAUACUGUGUCAUUGUAUGAAUUUAUCUGGAUACCUUCCCAAUAUGAUAGUAUCUACUUUGAUAUGAUGUUGAAUUCCAUUCAAAUUAUCUAGGGGAGAUAAUGAAGAUACAUUUUGUAUCAGAAUCGAUUGACAACAGAAACAGUAGUUGUCGGUACUUAUCCGUACCACAAAAUGAACCGUUGUUUCAUUUCCAUGUGAUUUUUUUGUGACACUUCCCCGAUGCAAUAUGAUAUAUUAAGAUAUUUGAAACUUAGGUUCAGUGUUUUAUGCAUAUGGUGAGCUGACAGUAGCCUUUACCACUGGUUAAAGGCAUGGACCUGCUUCGUGGGCCUGGGCAUUCCUAGUCGAUGACCUCACUGUCCGAUGAUGCUCAUCUGAGAGGGAUUGCUCCACUACAUGAAAAUUUUCCAGUGGUUAUACACUGGAUCAUUCUUCUCAAGAUUAUGUCAAUUUUCCUAGGGAAUGCAGUGAAGGCUAGAAUUAAAAUAGUUGACAUUUUCAUGUCGGUUGCUUCCUGUCAUAUUCCUUUAAGAACAAAUGCUUGGUCAUUUUAACUGCCGGUGCAUGUUAGCGUGGCUAGUGGAGCAUCUCCUUGUUUUCCUUUGGCAAAACAUGCUUCAUUCAAGUUGGGCAUUGGCCUGAUACUAGUGUGUGUGUGUGUGUGUGUGUGUGUGUUAAUACUUUGGGGAUCCUAAUAACAGGAUUUCCUAAUUAGGCCAUCCGUUUUGUUUCUAGCUUUGAUGAAAGGCAGCAGAUUGGAAAUGGGUGCGUUUUUAAUGUUUACUUGCUUUCAAACAGAACAUUUUGAUAGACCAAACACCUGAUUCUUUUAAUGAUGAGUUCAAUCACUACUGCUUUCAAUCUAAUGUUUAUGUAUCCUCAUCAUGGAUGUAGAGCUGAAGGCGAGUGGUGACCUCACCAAGGAUGUAGAGCUAAGGGCGUGUUCUUAGCCAUUGGUUAGAGUGAGAGGCUACAGGGCUAUUGAUGUCUAUUGGUUGAAAUUUAAGUUUGUUCAGUUGGAAUGCUGAAGUUUAAAGAAUUAGCAGAGGCUUCUAUUAUGGUUCUCCGAUGUUGAAGAGCAUCAAAGCAUGCCUGCCUUAUCGCCGACUGGUCUCAUCUUCUGUUUUAUGGCUAUGAUUUGCUGAGGAGAAGCUACUUUUCAGUCCCAACUGAUGUACGGUUUUGCCUAUUUGGCUAUAUCAGGCUGUGGCUGCAUGGAAAGUUGUAUUGCUGUAAACAUUUGUAGCAUGGAAAAUGGACAUUCAUGUGCAUUUGUAGUCUGAAAACAUUAAAUGGACCGGUAACUAUUUAAUUUGUAUUGUGUUGAUUAGUCUUGAUGAAUGUUAAAUGGGUGAAACAUGCAUGCACAUGUUUAAUCAUUGAUUGAUUAUGAUAUUAUUAAACAA